GUCACCUCUAGACAAAUAGUCAACAAUCCUUAUAAAUACGUGAGCUCUUAUUAUCAUCAUUUUCUAGUUCUAUUUCCAACACCCCACAUCUUCUCUUAUGUUUUGUUUAGGACAAAUAGGAGUGGUAGAUGCUCGUUUAUCUGCAAAAAUAAGUAACAUACAACUUUUCAUGUGAUUUUCACUACUUUUUCUUAGUCUCUCAUGUGAU
rnacentral:lncRNA from 1 species